rnacentral:rRNA from 1 species
AACGAACGCUGGCGGUAUGCCUAACACAUGCAAGUCGAACGAGAUCUUCGGGUCUAGUGGCGCACGGGUGCGUAACGCGUGGGAAUCUGCCCUUUGGUUCGGAAUAACAGUUGGAAACGACUGCUAAUACCGGAUGAUGACGAAAGUCCAAAGAUUUAUCGCCAGAGGAUGAGCCCGCGUAGGAUUAGCUAGUUGGUGUGGUAAAGGGGCACCAAGGCGACGAUCCUUAGCUGGUCUGAGAGGAUGAUCAGCCACACUGGGACUGAGACACGGCCCAGACUCCUACGGGAGGCAGCAGUGGGGAAUAUUGGACAAUGGGCGAAAGCCUGAUCCAGCAAUGCCGCGUGAGUGAUGAAGGCCUUAGGGUUGUAAAGCUCUUUUGCCCGGGAUGAUAAUGACAGUACCGGGAGAAUAAGCUCCGGCUAACUCCGCGCCAGCCGCCGCCGUAA